rnacentral:rRNA from 1 species
AUUGAACGCUGGCGGCAUGCCUUACACAUGCAAGUCGAACGGUAACAGGUCUUCGGAUGCUGACGAGUGGCGAACGGGUGAGUAAUACAUCGGAACGUGCCUAGUAGUGGGGGAUAACUACUAGAAAGAGUGGCUAAUACCGCAUGAGAUCUACGGAUGAAAGCAGGGGAUCGCAAGACCUUGUGCUACUAGAGCGGACGAUGGCAGAUUAGGGAGUUGGUGGGAUAAAAGCUUACCAAGCCGACGAUCUGUAGCUGGUCUGAGAGGACGAUCAGCCACACUGGGACUGAGAAACGGCCCAGACUCCUACGGGAGGCAGCAGUGGGGAAUUUUGGACAAUGGGCGCAAGCCUGAUCCAGCAAUGCCGCGUGCAGGAUGAAGGCCUUCGGGUUGUAAACUGCUUUUGUACGGAACGAAAAGCCCUGGGUUAAUACCCUGGGGUCAUGACGGUACCGUAAGAAUAAGCACCGGCUAACUACGUGCCAGCCGCCGCCGUAA